rnacentral:rRNA from 1 species
AGAUUGAACGCUGGCGGCAUGCCUAACACAUGCAAGUCGAACGGGAGUAGCAAUACUCUAGUGGCGGACGGGUGAGGAAUACGUAGGAAUUUGCCCUUAAGUGGGGGAUAACCCGGGGAAACCCGGAUUAAUACCGCAUGACCUCGAAAGAGCAAAGUGGGGGAUCGCAAGACCUCACGCUUUUGGAGAAGCCUACGUCGGAUUAGCUAGUUGGUGAGGUAAUGGCUCACCAAGGCGACGAUCCGUAACUGGUCUGAGAGGAUGAUCAGUCACACGGAACUGAGACACGGUCCGGACUCCUACGGGAGGCAGCAGGUGGGGAAUAUUGGACAAU